GGUAACAGGAUGUGCUUGCACAUCGCUGACGAGUGGCGGACGGGUGAGUAAUGCUUGGGAACUUGCCUUUGCGAGGGGGAUAACAGUUGGAAACGACUGCUAAUACCGCAUAAUGUCUUCGGACCAAACGGGGCUUAGGCUCCGGCGCAAAGAGAGGCCCAAGUGAGAUUAGCUAGUUGGUAAGGUAACGGCUUACCAAGGCGACGAUCUCUAGCUGUUCUGAGAGGAAGAUCAGCCACACUGGGACUGAGACACGGCCCAGACUCCUACGGGAGGCAGCAGUGGGGAAUAUUGCACAAUGGGGGAAACCCUGAUGCAGCCAUGCCGCGUGUGUGAAGAAGGCCUUCGGGUUGUAAAGCACUUUCAGUUGUGAGGAAAAGUUAGUAGUUAAUACCUGCUAGCCGUGACGUUAACAACAGAAGAAGCACCGGCUAACUCCGUGCCAGCAGCCGCGGUAAUACGGAGGGUGCGAGCGUUAAUCGGAAUUACUGGGCGUAAAGCGCACGCAGGCGGUUUGUUAAGCUAGAUGUGAAAGCCCCGGGCUCAACCUGGGAUGGUCAUUUAGAACUGGCAGACUAGAGUCUUGGAGAGGGGAGUGGAAUUCCAGGUGUAGCGGUGAAAUGCGUAGAUAUCUGGAGGAACAUCAGUGGCGAAGGCGACUCCCUGGCCAAAGACUGACGCUCAUGUGCGAAAGUGUGGGUAGCGAACAGGAUUAGAUACCCUGGUAGUCCACACCGUCGCUGUCUACUAGCUGUGUGUGCCUUUAAGGCGUGCGUAGCGAAGCUAACGCGCUAAGUAGACCGCCUGGGGAGUACGGCCGCAAGGUUAAAACUCAAAUGAAUUGACGGGGGCCCGCACAAGCGGUGGAGCAUGUGGUUUAAUUCGAUGCAACGCGAAGAACCUUACCUACACUUGACAUGCUGAGAAGUUACUAGAGAUAGUUUCGUGCCUUCGGGAACUCAGACAC
rnacentral:rRNA from 1 species